AUUGAACGCUGGCGGCAUGCUUUACACAUGCAAGUCGAACGGUAACAGGCCGCAAGGUGCUGACGAGUGGCGAACGGGUGAGUAAUGCAUCGGAACGUGCCCAGUCGUGGGGGAUAACGCAGCGAAAGCUGUGCUAAUACCGCAUACGAUCUAUGGAUGAAAGCGGGGGACCGUAAGGCCUCGCGCGAUUGGAGAGGCCGAUGUCGGAUGAGGUAGGUGGUGGGGUAAAGGCCUACCAAGCCGACGAUCUGUAGCUGGUCUGAGAGGACGACCAGCCACACUGGGACUGAGACACGGCCCAGACUCCUACGGGAGGCAGCAGUGGGGAAUUUUGGACAAUGGGCGCAAGCCUGAUCCAGCAAUGCCGCGUGCAGGAAGAAGGCCUUCGGGUUGUAAACUGCUUUUGUACGGAACGAAACGGUCUGGGUUAAUACCCUGGGCUAAUGACGGUACCGUAAGAAUAAGCACCGGCUAACUACGUGCCAGCCGCCGCAGUAAAAC
rnacentral:rRNA from 1 species